CGUACACUCCUGCGGGAGGCAGCAGUGAGGAAUAUUGGACAAUGGGUGGAAGCCUGAUCCAGCCAUCCCGCGUGCAGGAAGACGGCCCUAUGGGUUGUAAACUGCUUUUAUCUGGGGAUAAACCUACUUACGUGUAAGUAGCUGAAGGUACCAGAAGAAUAAGCACCGGCUAACUCCGUGCCAGCAGCCGCGGUAAUACGGAGGGUGCAAGCGUUAUCCGGAUUUAUUGGGUUUAAAGGGUCCGUAGGCGGACUGAUAAGUCAGUGGUGAAAUCCGACAGCUUAACUGUCGAACUGCCAUUGAUACUGUUAGUCUUGAGUAAGGUUGAAGUGGCUGGAAUAAGUAGUGUAGCGGUGAAAUGCAUAGAUAUUACUUAGAACACCAAUUGCGAAGGCAGGUCACUAAGUCUUAACUGACGCUGAUGGACGAAAGCGUGGGGAGCGAACAGGAUUAGAAACCCUUGUAGUCCC
rnacentral:rRNA from 1 species